UAGCUAGUUGGUGAGGUAACGGCUUACCAAGGCGACGAUCUGUAGCGGGUCUGAGAGGAUGAUCCGCCACACUGGAACUGAGACACGGUCCAGACUCCUACGGGAGGCAGCAGUCGGGAAUUUUGGACAAUGGGGGCAACCCUGAUCCAGCCAUGCCGCGUGAGUGAAGAAGGCCUUCGGGUUGUAAAGCUCUUUCGGCCGGGAAGAAAUCGCAUGGGCCAAUACCCUGUGUGGAUGACGGUACCGGAAUAAGAAGCACCGGCUAACUACGUGCCAGCAGCCGCGGUAAUACGUAGGGUGCGAGCGUUAAUCGGAAUUACUGGGCGUAAAGCGUGCGCAGGCGGUUUUGUAAGACAGGCGUGAAAUCUCCGGGCUCAACCUGGGAACUGCGUUUGUGACUGCAGGGCUAGAGUACGGCAGAGGGGGGUGGAAUUCCACGUGUAGCAGUGAAAUGCGUAGAGAUGUGGAGGAACACCAAUGGCGAAGGCAGCCCCCUGGGUCGAUACUGACGCUCAUGCACGAAAGCGUGGGUAGCAAACAGGAUUAGAUACCCUGGUAGUCCACGCCCUAAACUAUGUCAACUAGGUGUUGGGUGGGUAAAACCAUUUAGUACCGUAGCUAACGCGUGAAGUCGACCGCCUGGGGAGUACGGCCGCAAGGUUAAAACUCAAAGGAAUUGACGGGGACCCGCACAAGCGGUGGAUGAUGUGGAUUAAUUCGAUGCAACGCGAAAAACCUUACCUACCCUUGACAUGCCAGGAACUUGCCAGAGAUGGCUUGGUGCCCGAAAGGGAGCCUGGACACAGGUGCUGCAUGGCUGUCGUCAGCUCGUGUCGUGAGAUGUUGGUUUAAGUCCCGCAACGAGCGCAACCCUUGUCGUUAAUUGCCAUCAUUUAGUUGGGCACUUUAGCGAGACUGCCGGUGACAAACCGGAGGAAGGUGGGGAUGACGUCAAGUCCUCAUGGCCCUUAUGGGUAGGGCUUCACACGUCAUACAAUGGUCGGUACAGAGGGUCGCCAAGCCGCGAGGUGGAGCCAAUCCCAGAAAGCCGAUCGUAGUCCGGAUUGCAGGCUGCAACUCGCCUGCAUGAAGUCGGAAUCGCUAGUAAUCGUGGAUCAGCAUGUCACGGUGAAUACGUUCCCGGGUCUUGUACACACCGCCCGUCACACCAUGGGAGCGGGUUCCGCCAGAAGUAGGUAGCCUAACCGCAAGGAGGGCGCUUACCACGGCGGGGUUCGUGACUGGGGUGAAGUCGUAACAAGGUAGCCGUAGGGGAACCUGCGGCUG
rnacentral:rRNA from 1 species